rnacentral:rRNA from 1 species
AGAACGAACGCUGGCGGCGCGUCUUAAGCAUGCAAGUCGAACGGCAAGAGGUAGCAAUACCUCCUAGAGUGGCGGACUGGUGAGUAACACGUGGGUGACAUACCCUUCAGAUGGGGAUAGCUAUUAGAAAUAGUAGAUAAUACCGAAUACGAGCACAGGGGUUAGAGAUCUGUGAGGAAAGGAGCUAAGGCUCCGGCUGAAGGAAUGGCCUGCGGCCCAUUAGCUAGUUGGUGAGGUAAGAGCCCACCAAGGCGAUGAUGGGUAUCCGGCCUUAGAGGGUGAACGGACACAUUGGGACUGAGAUACGGCCCAGACUCCUACGGGAGGCAGCAGCUAAGAAUAUUCCGCAAUGGACGAAAGUCUGACGGAGCGACGCCGCGUGGAUGAAGAAGGCCGGAAGGUUGUAAAAUCCUUUUGAAACUGAAGAAUAAGCGUUGUAGGGAAUGACAGCGUGGUGACAGUAGGUUUUGAAUAAGCAACGGCUAAUUACGUGCCAGCCGCUGC